rnacentral:rRNA from 1 species
GACGAACGCUGGCGGCGUGCUUAACACAUGCAAGUCGAACGGAAAGGCCCUGCUUUUGUGGGGUGCUCGAGUGGCGAACGGGUGAGUAACACGUGAGUAACCUGCCCUUGACUUUGUGAUAACUUCAGGAAACUGGGGCUAAUACCGGAUAGGAGCUCCUGCUGCAUGGUGGGGGUUGGAAAGUUUCGGCGGUUGUGGAUGGACUCGCGGCUUAUCAGCUUGUUGGUGGGGUAGUGGUUUACCAAGGCUUUGACGGGUAGCCGGCCUGAGAGGGUGACCGGCGACAUUGGGACUGAGAUACGGCCCAGACGCCAACGGGAGGCAGCAGUGGGGAGUAUGGCAGAAUGGGCGGAAGCGUGAUGCAGAAACGCCGCGUGCGGGAUGACGGCCUUCGGGUUGUAAACCGCUUUCGCCGGUGACGAAGCGUGAGUGACGGUAAUGGGUAAAGAAGCACCGGCUAACUACGUG